rnacentral:rRNA from 1 species
CAGCCGCCACGGGAAUACGUAGGUGGCAAGCGUUGUCCGGAAUUAUUGGGCGUAAAGGGCUCGCAGGCGGUUUCUUAAGUCUGAUGUGAAAGCCCCCGGCUCAACCGGGGAGGGUCAUUGGAAACUGGGAAACUUGAGUGCAGAAGAGGAGAGUGGAAUUCCACGUGUAGCGGUGAAAUGCGUAGAGAUGUGGAGGAACACCAGUGGCGAAGGCGACUCUCUGGUCUGUAACUGACGCUGAGGAGCGAAAGCGUGGGGAGCGAACAGGAUUAGAUACCCCAGUAGUCCCUGUCUCUUAUAU